AGCGAACGCUGGCGGCAGGCUUAACACAUGCAAGUCGAGCGGGCACUUUCGGGUGUCAGCGGCGGACGGGUGAGUAACGCGUGGGAACGUGCCCUCUGGUUCGGAAUAACUCAGGGAAACUUGGGCUAAUACCGGAUACGCCCUUUUGGGGAAAGGCUUGCUGCCGGAGGAUCGGCCCGCGUCUGAUUAGCUAGUUGGUGAGGUAACGGCUCACCAAGGCGACGAUCAGUAGCUGGUCUGAGAGGAUGAUCAGCCACACUGGGACUGAGACACGGCCCAGACUCCUACGGGAGGCAGCAGUGGGGAAUAUUGGACAAUGGGCGCAAGCCUGAUCCAGCCAUGCCGCGUGAGUGAUGAAGGCCUUAGGGUUGUAAAGCUCUUUUAUCCGGGACGAUAAUGACGGUACCGGAGGAAUAAGCCCCGGCUAACUUCGUG
rnacentral:rRNA from 1 species